UACGGAGGGGGUUAGCGUUGUUCGGAAUUACUGGGCGUAAAGCGCGCGUAGGCGGACUAUAAGUCAGAGGUGAAAUCCCGGGGCUCAACCCCGGAACUGCCUUUGAUACUGUAUGUCUAGAAUCUGUGAGGGGAUAGUGGAAUAUCAAGUGUAGAGGUGAAAUUCGUAGAUAUUUGAUGGAACACCAGUGGCGAAGGCGACUAUCUGGCACAGUAUUGACGCUGAGGCGCGAAAAGCGUGGGGAGCAAACAGGAUUAGAUACCCCGGUAGUCC
rnacentral:rRNA from 1 species